CCUACGGGUGGCUGCAGUGAGGAAUAUUGGUCAAUGGUCGGAAGACUGAACCAGCCAAGUCGCGUGCAGGAUGAAGGCACUACGGGUUGUAAACUGCUUUUAUCCGGGAAUAACGCCCCUUACGUGUCGCGCUUUGCGUGUACCGUAUGAAUAAGGACCGGCUAAUUCCGUGCCAGCAGCCGCGGUAAUACGGAAGGUGCGGGCGUUAUCCGGAUUUAUUGGGUUUAAAGGGAGCGUAGGCCGCAUGUCAAGCGUGCUGUGAAAUGUCCGGGCUCAACCCGGGCCUCGCAGCGCGAACUGGCGGGCUUGAGUCCGCGGAAAGCAGGCGGAAUUCGUGGUGUAGCGGUGAAAUGCUUAGAUAUGACGAAGAACCCCGAUUGCGAAGGCAGCAUGCUGCAGCGGAACUGACGCUGAGGCUCGAAAGCGCGGGUAUCGAACAGGAUUAGAUACCCUGGUAGUC
rnacentral:rRNA from 1 species